UACGUAGGCAGCGAGCGUUCGUUCGGAAUUACUGGGCGUAAAGAGUGUGUAGGCGGUGCUCUAAGUUCGGUGUGAAAUCUCCCGCUUAACUGGGAGGGUGCGCCGGAAACUGGAGUGCUCGAGCGUGGGAGAGGAAAGCGGAAUUCCUGGUGUAGCGGUGAAAUGCGUAGAUAUCAGGAGGAACACCUGCGGUGUAGACGGCUUUCUGGACCAUUGCUGACGCUGAGACACGAAAGCGUGGGUAGCAAACAGG
rnacentral:rRNA from 1 species